rnacentral:rRNA from 1 species
CCUACGGGAGGCAGCAGUGAGGAAUAUUGGUCAAUGGGCGCGAGCCUGAACCAGCCAAGUAGCGUGAAGGAUGACUGCCCUACGGGUUGUAAACUUCUUUUAUAAAGGAGUAAAGUGAGGUACGUGUGCCUUUUUGUAUGUACUUUAUGAAUACGGAUCGGCUAACUCCGUGCCAGCAGCCGCGGUAAUACGGAGGAUCCGAGCGUUAUCCGGAUUUAUUGGGUUUAAAGGGAGCGUAGAUGGGUUGUUAAGUCAGUUGUGAAAGUUUGCGGCUCAACCGUAAAAUUGCAAUUGAUACUGGCGGCCUUGAGUACAGUUGAGGUAGGCGGAAUUCGUGGUGUAGCGGUGAAAUGCUUAGAUAUCACGGAGAACUCCGAGUGCGAAGGCAGCCUACUAAACUGCCACUGACAUUGAUGCUCGAAAGUGUGGGUGUCAAACAGGAUUAGAUCCCCUGUAGUC